AUGAAUCGAAAUGGUACGCUUCCCUUUUCCUUUUCAUUAUUCGCAAUAUAUACAUGCACAUAUAUUUAAAACAUUCACCUUUAUGUAUUUCAGUCGACUGCUGGUUUCUUUAGUAUAAGAACGUAUUUUGUUUUUUAUUGAAUCUCUCUGUUCUUAAAAAAAAAACCUCCUCUUUACAAAUUAAAAAGAAAGGGUUUUUAUAACCCUCGAUUACAUUUUAAGGAAAGAAUUUUGGUUUCUUUCCAUGUUUAUUUCCUUUGCUGUUGUGGUUUUUUUUCUUUUGCAGGUACCAUCGAGGAUUUCAUGGCGAGGAAACGUUGAUCUGUGCACCGGUCACGGCGUGUCAUGGGGCCUGGAAUCACGGCACCGAUGGUGGUGACGAUUAGCGUGCCUGUGAUACCAGCUCUGGAACCUUCCAUUUGCGGCGCCUAGGGUUCCAAAAACCCUAGGUCUUCCCUCUCCUGUUUACCAAAUUGGGCCAUUUGGGCCAUACCUGGUUGGGUGUAAAUGGGCUAGUGGGGUAGUCUAGGCUAUUGGGUUGUAACCGGUCUGUUUGGGUUUGUGUGUAACGGGUCUGAGGUUUUAAGUAUUUGGGCCACUAACACUUGGGCUUUUGUAAACUAGACUGAAAUAAAUAAACUUUU
rnacentral:lncRNA from 1 species